rnacentral:rRNA from 1 species
CCCUUAGAUGUUCUGGGCCGCACGCGCGCUACACUGACGAAUGCAACGAGCUUAUAACCUUGGCCGAAAGGUCUGGGUAAUCUCCAAAUUUCGUCGUGAUGGGGAUAGAUUAUUGCAAUUAUUAAUCUUCAACGAGGAAUGCCUAGUAAGCGCAAGUCAUCAGCUUGCGUUGAUUACGUCCCUGCCCUUUGUACACACCGCCCGUCGCUCCUACCGAUUGAAUGGUCCGGUGAAGCGUUCGGACCGUGGCCUUUGGACGGUUCGCCGUCUGUUGGCUGCGGGAAGUUCGUUAAACCUUAUCAUUUAGAGGAAGGAGAGNUCGUANCA